rnacentral:rRNA from 1 species
UACGAAGGGUGCAAACGUUGCUCGGAAUUAUUGGGCGUAAAGCGCACGUAGGCGGCCUUGUAAGUCGGAUGUGAAAUCCCUCGGCUUAACCGAGGACGUGCAUCCGAAACUGUGAGGCUCGAGUAUGGAAGAGGGUCACAGAAUUCCCGGUGUAGAGGUGAAAUUCGUAGAUAUCGGGAGGAAUACCAGUGGCGAAGGCGGCGACCUGGGCCAAUACUGACGCUGAGGCGCGAAAGCCAGGGGAGCGAACGGG